AAAGCCGCAGCGACCCCACCCCCCCCUCACGGCCCGGCGGCGCUGGAGCGGGGCCGCUUCCCCAGGGAAAAUGAAACACUCCCAGGCUCUCCGGGGGUCGCGACAUGCUGGCUCAGCGGUUGUGAGGGGCUGAGCUCUCAGCGAGGGGCGCGGCUCGGCGGAGCCGCAGACAUAGGUGGGAUGCUCAGCUAGCGGAAGGUCUGACCCACGUUACCUCGAUUUUGUGACGCAAAUUCAUGCAGGACAGCUGUGUUUUAAACCUCAGACUGAUUUUGUACCUUAAGUAGUUUGGCCUCUUGUCUUCUUUUUCUUCAGUUGUUUCUUAUUUUGGUCAGACUUUCUACAUUUCUAAGUUGGCACUUGCGUCUGUGUCAUACGGAGUGGUCAUUUAACAGACCUUUAAUGCUCUAAAAACCUGCGCCUACCUUAAACAAAAAUUAAGAAAAUCCCAACGCUGCAACGCUGUUGUUAGUAGUACUGUGAAUGUUUGUGCAGCUUCAUGGGAAGCUAGGGGAGGGAGCCAGCCUCGCUGGAAAAGUACUGCUCCCAUCAUAGCUGUGCUAGUAAGAGCAGGGCUGACGGCAAUUAGCAAAAAGAAGGGCUGUGGUGUCAAAGCUGUCAUUCGAUAUGCGAGUGCUCCUGAAGAAGUAACUCAUACUGCAAUUACCCUUUCUUUCUUUUUUAAAUCCAGUCUGCCUUUUACUGGUUGUUCUGACACUGAACUUUUACAUCUAGAGAAUCAGGUCAGUAAUUAGGCCAACAUAUAAGAAUUGUCACUUAUAGGACAGUUCCAAAUAAACUGUGUUUAACCAUGAAAUGUGCAUUUAAAAUAAUAAUUUUGGAAGUGGUGAAAAAAGUAGGAUUAUCACAAAUAUAUAGGGCAGUUUCCAUGAAUCGACUAGCACUCCUUACAUUGAGGUUAUGUAGGCUGAUAAUUUCACAUUUUGAUUUCACAGUAUGAAACCCUUUUAAAAAAAUAAGUGGUGGGACAAGACACAUUGAUUUUAACUUGGACCUAGCAAAAGCUACAGGUUUUCUGCCAUUAUUUGUUUUUGGUUUGGCUUAUUAGUGGAGUUUUGUGGGUUUUUUUCCUUCUACAUAGCUCACACUCCCAUCCUUUAAUUUUAGUCCCAUGAUUUAGAUCACAAAGUAAAAUGUAGCAUUAAAAAAAGCUGGUAAUGAUAAGACUUAAAUGUUCUGCACUGUACCCCACUGCAGGAAGUAAGUUAAUAGUUAAACUGACAUCUUCACCAUUAUUAAAGUCUUCCAGCCUUUCUCAACUUUUUUUUUUCCAACUAUCUUUUUUUCUGACAGGUUUUUUCAGCUGUGAAUGAUGUGUCUCAUCAGGGAGACUACAUUUAGAUUCUAUCCCUCUGGGCUAGUACCAAACUUUGUGUGAUCUUAAUUUAUUCUGUGUCCUCUCAUCUCCUGAAUGAGAGAAAGUACCAUCUCUGCUGCUUUAAUUGUGUGCUGCUCAUUUUCAGUAUUUCUUGUACCUUAUGUUUUUGGGUUUGGAUCUGUUCUGGAAGCCCCUUAAAACCCAGUGGUCAGAAACAUGUUACUACUUUAGAAACUGAGCUGAAUCACAAUUCCCAGUCCUACUGAAUCCUUUUCUUUUGCUUUCUUUAGAGCUGCUAUUCUUCCAGCAGCUCAGUAUAUUUUACUAAUUUUGGCAUGCUAGCAAUAGACUGGAAUCUCUACCUGCCCACAAAAUUCCUGGACUAUAAAUUGCCAGGUGAUAGGCAUAAAGCAAAGGAAGGACUGUGAUUUUGGAGAGAGGGAGGUUGGCGUCCCUCUUUCUAUGAAUUGAUAGAUGAGUGUUUCUCAAAUUGUGGGGCUUACAAUGUUAGUCUGUUCCUGGCUCUUCUCAGCUGAGAGUGCUUUGAGGACUCCCAAAUGCUCAUAGGAAGCAAAGUAUUCCUUUACUGCAGACGUGUAAUUAGCUAUAGUAACUGUAGUUAUAGAGCUGGCAGGUAACAGUUUUUAUGAUGAUUAUGUUCCCUCAUUAGUAUGUAUAGAUUUUAUUUUUAGAAUUGUUUUAAGAUUAUUGUAACUCCUAAUAAUGCAACUAUGAGCUGGCAUUGUCUUUUUAAGGUUAUGAUAUGCAAGAGCAAUUUACUGUAAUAAGUUGUUGUGCACUGUGAUGACAAUGAUAAAUGGUGCCUCAGAAAAUAUGUUCCAAGCAUCAUGUGUCAGCAGGCUGCUGUUUCAGCAGCUAUGGAGAUUUAUUUUUUUUUUUUCUGAGCACUGUGUUAAGGUAGUAUAUGUCUGAACAAAAAUUGUAUCUAGAGAAGAGCACUUUAAAGAUGGUAAUUCCAGGCUUGUGCUGACUGCAUGUUCACUGCAGGAAAAGAAUUAGUAAAAUGAUGUCUAGAAUUCAAGGAUACAUGGACAAACGUGAUAACCUUGGUGCAUGUAUGCUGCAAUGCACACAUAAAUCAUUAUUAUUAUUAUGAAAUCCUAAUUAGUGUAAUUAAUAUAAAACAAUACAUGAGCAUAAGGGGCAAAUAUACUAGGAAUAUAGUAGCCCACAAAAAAUUCUUUCAUGUCUGAAAUGAGGUAUUUUAACUUAGUGUUAAUCCUACUUUAAAAUAAAACUAAAAGCCCCAGCUGUAAUUAUGUGGCAUCCUAUUGGGAGCAGCAGAGCUGUCCAGGCUGCUGAGAGGCCUCAGGAGGUCGUACUCUGUCACUAGAGGGGAGUGUGAGAUCUGCUUUGCCAGGGUGGUGUUGGGUAUUCACCCACCGACAUGUAGGAGGAGAAUGUAGUCCAAGGGCACAAAGAUUUAAUUGCAGUCUGUUUGGCUGUUGUAGAAUUGUUAUACCGUAUGAUCUUUUCUGCUACAUCAACAUGGCUAUGAAAAUAAAAUAAAUAUUAAACCUAUAAAAUAACUUGUGGAGUAGUGUUGGGUUUUUUGCUUCUGUUGAAAUUUUCUUAUCAAAAUCCCAUUAAAAUCUGUUUGUCAACAGCAGCAAGAGAAUGGAAAAGAGUAUCAAGUAGGUACAUAACAAUUUGGAAUACAAAGAUGAUUUGGAAUACAUAUGAUGUUACUUUUAGUCUAAGAAGCAUCCUGGGGUUCUGAGGGAACUGGUAGAUGUGAUGGCUGAGCCAUGUCUCAAUCAUAUUUGAAAAGUCAUGAUAAUCAGGCUUUGACUAUCAUUCAGUGACUGGAGUGACACUGACUACUGUUCUGUAACAGUAUCUCAGGCACUGGAGGGAAGGAAUUGUCACACCCAGACCCUGGGAACUGCUGACCAGCCUCACCUUUGUGCCCAAACAAGAUCAUGGAGCAGGUCCUGCUGGCAGUUACUUCAAAGCAUAUGAGAGGUGAUUGUAUGAAGGUGACUAGAGACAGCCAACACAGCUUUGUCAAGAGCAAAUCAUGUGGCUGCCUCUGAUGGAGUGACUGUAUCAGGAGACAAAGGAAAGGUAAGAGAUGUCACUUGACUUCUGUAAAGCCUUUAAUACUGUCCCUUCCAGUGCUUUUGCCUCUAAAUUGAUGUGGGUUUGAUGGAUGGACUAUUAAAUGGCAAGGAAUUGUAUGACUGCAACCAAAGAGCUACCAGUGCUGAGUGGUAUCCUCCCACAGGUGUGUUUUGGGGCUUAUAGUUUAAUCUUAGUGACACAGAGUGCACCUUCAGGAAAUUUGUGUGUGACACCAAGCUGAGUGGUUCAAUUGAUAAAGGGGAUGUAUGCCAUCCAGAGGAUCUUGACAGGCUUGAGGAGUUGGCAUGUACAUACAUCAUGAAACUUAAAAUUGUCCUGGCUUGAGGUAAUGCCCAGUAUCAAUAUAGACUGAGGGAUGAAUGGAUUGAAAGCAGUGGAGAAGAUACUGGGAAUACCCAUGGGUGAGAAGCUGGACAUAACCCAGCAAUGUGCACUCCCAGCCCAGAAAGUCAAAUGUGUCCUGUGCUGCAUCAAAAGUAACAUGACCACUGGAUGGAGCAGAGUGACUCUCCCCCUCUGCUCUGCUCUCAAGAGACCCCUCCUGGAGUGCUGAGUGCAGCUCUAGGACACCCAGCACAAGGUGGACGUGAACCUGUUGGAGCAGGUCCAGAGGAGGGCCACAAAAAUGAUGAGUGGUCUAUUGACACUGAUAAAUGUUUGAGAUUUUUCCUUUUUCAAUGUAGGGAUUGUAUUUGUACAGAAGCAUAAAUAAGAGAAUUUAUCUCUUAUUACUGAUGCCUGAAGGGAAACGUGUGGAAGAAAACUGCAUCAUUCAAGACCAUCUGGAUUAGAAGCUGAGGGUGACAAUUACUCUGCCAAAGAACCUAAAGUCAUUAGAAUUUGUAUAAAAGUGUGUGUGUUAUCCAAAGGUCUUUUGUUUGUUUGUUCCUUUUAAUUAGAUGCUUUUGUGUAAAAGAUACAUAUCUUUAUAAUGACUCAAGGGAUUAAAUCCCUUAAUGUUCCUCCCUUAGUACCCAAACAUCACUAUAAAAACACCGAGUAAUAGGCAGCAGCUGCAUGUAAGUCUCUUAGUGUUACCUGAAAUGUCAAUAACUCUUGCCCUCUAUAAUGUAUGUGCAUUAUUUGAAGCUCAGAAAGUUUGCAGUCCCUGAUUGUUUUUAGAUAAUUGAACAGGUUUUACUAUGAAAUUUUCUGUGAUAAUCCUAUCAUGGUGUUUUAUAUCAGUAGCAUCACUAUAUGGAUGAAUACCCAAAUUUAAAGAACAUCUUUCUUUCUUUUCUGUAAGGUUUUAAUGGAUGAUCAAAAUCAAUAAGGUUUCCUGUGUUGCCAGUAACAUGGGAUCAUUCAUCUGCUACAAUGUGGACGUUAACUGCAAAGGUGGAUGGAUGAAAACUGGUGAAUUGUAUGGAGAUGCCUAGUUUGGUAAAGUAUCUCUUCAGUGCCUUGGUUGUUAGUUCCUCGAGCUCUAGACUGGGCAGCAGGAGUCACAGGAGGAGCUCUGUGCUAGAGUUUUUGCUGUGCAGAGAACACCCCACACCACUUGCCUGCAGCAGCAGUUUACCCGAAAUGGUUCCGUUGUGGUUGACCAAGCUGUCACAGAAGCUGUUGAAAUUGCACAACGGAGAGAACACCGCAAGAAGAGAGGAAUGGCAACCUGGGCCAGCAGCACAUGAUACAACCUCAUUCUGUGAAAAACUCAGUUGCAACCCAAUCACAUCCCUGCAAUGAGUCAGAGCAGUUUGCUUAUACAAGGUACUGUUUUGCUGGAACGCCAACAAGGCUGACUGUAGAGGUACUUAUAAGUUGAACUUGACUACGGUCCCUGCUGUUAUAGCAAAAGAAAUCCCCAAAACGAGGAGAUCCUCCUUGACAGAUGUCAAAGCUUGCUUAAAAGCUUGGAGAUAGUAGACCAACUGGCAUGAACAGAAAAAUAAUAAAUUUCUUUCUUGAAAUGGCUAAGCCCUUUUAUUUCAUAACACAAAAGCAAAGUAUUGAACUGUAUAAUUUUAUUAGGGUGCUUAGUACCUAAAUACAUUUUUCCAUUAAAUUUACGCCAAGGCCUGAUUUCUGAGUUACAGCACAAUCAAGACUUACAAGACUAAGACAAGGCAAGAAAGCCACAGAAACACUUCUGUUUUAUUUGGCAAUAUCCCAAAUGUAGUCAGUUUGGAAAUAGCUAUCUUUGGCUUAACUGUUGGACUUGGAUUGAUUCCAAGUGGAAUGUUCCAAAUUGUGUCCAUGAUAGUAUGUAUGAGUGUGUCCCAGAAUUUCAGUGUUUUUGACAAUGAUUGUCAAGAGAUGAACCAUGACUUUGGAAAAUAAACGCUGAGGGGUCUAUUGGUUGUGCUGAUUGCCUUUGGGGACAAGAAGAAAACCAAUGGAAAAUUGUUUUCUCAAGUGGAAUUUUAUCAGCUCAUACUCCUCAUCCAGUGAUCAGAAGCCCUGUAGCACUUCAUCAUUCAAAUAUAUAAAAUGCUGAUUGUGUUGAUUGGUAUCAAGCUGACACUUGAUCAUUUAUUGACAUUCAGAAUUGGGUCAUGGGUUUAUGGCUCUUUUGAAAAAGGCUGAAGUCAGUGAGAUUUAAAGCUGUAAUAACUGUAUUCAGGUACUGACUUGCCUACAGGAUUGGCUGGGCGUCCCAAGCUCUUUAAAAGUGGCAGUUCAGAAUACUUUUAACCAUAUUCUGUAGAGUUAUCUUUUACUGAAUCAUUAAGACUUUUGAAAUGAGACAUGCUUCAAUAUAUUGACUCUACAGAUGAAAAUACUAAAGAUUUCUGCACCUUUAAGGUAGAGAGCCAUUACACAGCAUAUUGGAAAUCAGUGUUGUAGGUGCUCCCCCACAUCCUCUAAACAUGCUUGUGUUAAAUGUGUUUUAAUUUCAAAAGGAAUAUGGUAUUUCUAAGAAAAAAGAUUAUCUUUCUGUUUUGUAGAAACUCAGCUAUUUUUUCAACAGUUAGAAUGUCAACUUUUGGGUUGAAUCAUCUCACUACUAUAACAUUUGAUCAGCCAGGAAGCUAGUUUUACUAUGCAGGUUAUGCUUGGACUCUGAAACUUUUUCCCAUUACAACAUUUUUGAGAUCAUAAUGGCAGUUUCGUAAUGUUUUUCUACAUUAGCAUUAAAGUUUUAUAGGCAAUUAUGUGAGAACCGAUAAAAAGAGACUCCAACUCUGAUAUAAUACUAAGUUCUUUAAGUGUAGCAAAAUAUUUCUGCAACUCAAGGCAGAAGAAGGGAGCAUUUGUAUGCAAUAUCAGAACUGAUAUUUCAUUUCAUUUCACCAAUCCUUUGCUCAAUUAGAUAAAAGCCUGUAGCACCACCACUCCAUGAAGUAAGGUAAGGAGAAAAAGUCAGGGUCUCAAUUCCAUGUAAACUAUAGUCUUCUAUGACUAAAAACAUACUUUUCAGUACUCUUUGUCUUGAUCCAUUAGAAUAAUAUAAAUUCCAUUAGCUUUAUAGGCCUGCAAGAGAACCUCCUUUUUUUAGAAACUGAUCUUAAACACUUGAAACCAGAAAAAAAAAAAAAUACUAACUUUUAGAUAAAGGACUAGGUUCUUUCAAGAGUCCUAAGUAGAGAGCACAGCAAUGAAACCACAAAAAUCUUCAAAUAAACUAGAGUUUAAUUUUUCUUAGAAUCAGUUACAAUUUUUUUUUCUUUCUACACCUAAAAGAGGCAAAUAACAGAAUGAGAAAUCCUCUCCUUGAAAAGAAGCUGAUUUCCAUGGGUCUGUGGCUUUCUAGAGAUCAUGUUAAAUAAAAUCUGUGGGCUUUCCUAUGAACUACAGCCAUUCAAAAAGGUUUACUAGAGCAGAAUUGAUACAAGCUCUGUUGUCACAGUAAACAUUACAGCAGGCAAAUAUCAGCAAGCCUUUUGGUCAGGUCAGUUUAAGAUAAGAGAAAGAAAAUAGUCAGCUGCUUUCUUGCUUGGCCUCAGGUUUGAUCAUUCCAGCGGCUGAUGUCUGUUGAAUUCUGUCUAUGUAUAGAAAGAAUACCCAUGAGGAUUAUGAAUAAACCAAAUAGAAUUACACCUCCUGCUCAAGAAUUUCAGGAUCAGAGAAUUACUGAGGUUGGCAAGGGCCUCUGCAGGUUAUCUAAUCCAAAGCCCUGCUAAAAGCAGCAUCAGGUACAGUAGUUUGCUCAGGGCUGUGUCUAGCUGAGUUCUGAGGAUCUCAAAGGAUGAAGACUCCCUAACCUCUCUGUGUGUUUUCUUGUGUUCAGGCAGUUUCACGUGCUGCCACUUUUGACUGGCUGGGAAAAUCAGAAACUAAUUUCUUAAUAUGGCAUCAAUUUAGCUAUG